GGGGUGGAAGGGGGGGGUUGGGAGAGAGGAAGGGGGGGAAGAGGGAGGAAAGGGAGGGAGGGAAAGAGAGAAGAGCGGAGAAGGAGGUGGCAAGCUGGGGACGAAAUCCUGCUCUCGGUUAUGGCCGGCGUAAAUUUCCAUUGGCUGGGGUUGCACAAGGUGCUCGGAGAGGAGUCGGUGCGGGAUGGAGUCCCUUUGUGUCUGCGGAGGAAUUCGGUUCCUUUUCCCCCCUUUUCCUUGAUAUAUUCCCUUAAAAAAAAAAAAAAAUGUUUUAAAAAUGCAAGCGGCUUGCCCAGCUGCACACACCCACCCUCGCCUCCCUCCCCCGGCUUGCGCACACACCGCACGCUCGCACUCGCUCAGCUCGCCCGCGCUCGCUCGGGUGUCAAAACCCGGCGGGCACGCAGCCCGGUCCGGCUCGGCUCGGCGCUGCCCUUCCCCUGCCCCACCGCCCGGGGCCCCCCCGCCGCCCCCCGAGCUUUUCCCCCCUGCUCUUGGCGCUGAAGAGUGGAGCCUCCCCCGCUUCCAAAUGGUGAGUUUCUACCUGAUUUUCUCGCGGCUCGGGGUUUUUCUCCAUCCCCGCCGGCCGCGGGCUGGCGGAGGGGGCGGGGAGGCAGCUCCUUUAUGCUGCUGCACGCUUUGUGCCAGGCGGCUGCAGGGAGAGCCUGCAUAUUCCUGCUCUUAUUUCUGCAUUCCUUUUCGUUGAAACAAUGAAAAUAAUUCCGUCACUGCCCCGAACUUCCCUUUCUUUCUUCCUCUUCGUUAUUUAAUGCAUUUGUCGCAAGCGACCUUGGUGGGAGCUGUAAGGAACCUGCCGCGCCUUGUCAUUUUUUUGUGCGAACGAUUAAAAAUGGAAUGUAUUCUCUCAACACAGGGUCCUUAGAGAAGCUCUUUCCUUCCACCUGUGUGUCCUGUUUUGUAAUCUUGAGCCAGGAAUUGAACUUGCCUGCUAUUCUUUCCCUCUCUCUCCUUUUUACCUUUUAUUUUUGCUCCCCGGUUUCUGCCAGGAGUAGCUCGUUGCGCCCCUCUCAAUCCCUGAGACCCUAACUUGUGAUGUUUAGCUUUUAAAUCCACGGGUUAGGCUCUUGGGAGCUGUGAGUUGUGCUUUGACAUCUUUAUUUUAUUUUUAUAAAUCUAUCUAUCUAUCUAUAAAAUGUAUAUGCGGGUAUAUCGAGAAUAUACACACACAUGCAGCGCUGUUUCAUAGACCUUUUAAAGGAGGUGGGGGGGGGGAAGCAAAGCAAAGUGCAGCUCUCCUCAUGGCAGGGCAGUGGUGGCCGCUCACCUUCCCAACCUCGCAUUAACACAGCGUUGGUUAUGCCGGAGGUUUCUCUCGGUCUGUGUGUGUGUGUGUGUGUGUGUGUGUAUUCACGGGCUGAUUGUGCAGUGAUGCUGUACGGGGGUGUCUGUGUGUACACACGGCGUUAUUACAUCCACGCGUGUGUAGAUAAGAGACACGCGGGAUGGAUGCAUGGAAAUACAGCUCUUGAGGUGUGUGUAUAGAGACACACACGGACGAUACGUGUGUAUGAAUAUGUAUGGGGGUAAAUAAACCCGAGAUAUGUAUAUAUAUUUACAUACGGAGGUGUAUUAAUAGCCAGAGCCGUGUUUUCCUGCUGGGAGAGCUGUGCCUUGCUGCAGGCCGGUGCGGGCGCACAGCAUCAUCUCUCCUUGCUAUUUUCCUCCUUGAGAGCAGCACGGAGUACCCUGAGAGCGUAACAGUAACAGCUCGGUACAUUGGUGCUUGACCUCAGCUGAAAUCCCAGCAUGCCUCAUGCUUCCAAGUUUAAAACCGAACGAUUAAUCUUAGAAAUGUGCUCUUCGGAGAGAGGGGGGGGGGGGGAGGAAAAAUAUCCAGCCAGGAGAAGGGUCGGAUCUCACUGCUUGUUAGAGCGAAAAUAAAGAAUAAAAUGGCUGCGUGCACCCCUGGUUGGAAAUGACUGAAAGAAAUGACCAGCAAACGCUGAACUUUUGUUGUAGUCCUUUUCUGGAACGUCCAGCUUUCCUGGUUUUUCAGUCCCAACGCGAUGUAAAUGUCAAACGAGAAAUGUUAAAAGUGUUCCCCGCUGCUGUUUUCCUUAUUAGAUAUAUAUUUUUUUUAAUGCUGCUGUAAAACUAAUUAUGGCUGGAACUGUAUUUCUUAUCUGUGUUCUGCAAGGCGAUUUGUAAUGCAGUUACUGUACCUUGUUAUGGCACCGAAUUGCUGUCUGAUAUUUGAAUGCAAAUGCUUUAACUCCGACCACAAUGCACCGAGAAUGAAUCGAUGGUGCAACGUCGGGUUCUCUCAGCGCUCCGCACACACCCGACGGUACCGUUGUUUAAUAGGGAUCGAAGUGGAAAAGGUUCUGCUCGCUUCUCGGUGCUGUGUAUUUUUGCUUUCUAUUGACGCUGUAAUUUUAUUGACCGUUAUGAAAACAAUGCCGACUGAGCCGCGUUUGUACGUUACCCCGAAUUUCGAAGCGAGAAACCUAUCCGAGCGUCCCAUUACCUGCUGGGCAAAGGGAGCGGAGCGCAGCGCGCAGCAACCCGCCCACCUUUGUGCUGACCCCAUCCCCGCGCAGGGCACGGACAGACAGACAGACAAAAACUACUUUCCCUUUUACUAUUAUUACUAUUAUUAUUAUUAUUAUUAAUUAUUUUUCCCCCCACCAGAGCCCAUUUGAAACCCAGCUUGCAGCGCGGGGCCGCGCUUUGUUGCAGCCCCCGGGGGCGGUACGGCGCUAUUGUCUGCGCGCUGCCGCGGGGCGAUGCGCGGCUGCGGAGGGGG
ensembl:lncRNA